AUUUCAAUUUCAUGAAGCAGUGUCAGAUCACAUGUGAUAUUAUUGUAGGGGAUGUGGCCAGCACAGAGAGAGAGGAUGCAAUUGACGUUCCCUGCCCUGUGUGUCCACCCAUUGAACCUGAGAUUGACAUCCAGAUUACCAAGGCUUUGUCCAGUUCUCCCCCUAAAACCAAUGGAGACUCUACUCCAGCAGAAGGUAUUCUGCCAAGUGUGUAUGCUCCUUGUGAACAACCUCUGCAGGAUUCAGCUGAAACUUCACCACAAAUAAACCCUCCAGAAAUCGUAGUCCAAGUUACACAGUCAUUGUUACUCAAAGAAAACCUGAUACCAUCCAUUCAGGAAGUUACAGAACCAAAACCUGAAGUCCCAGAUAAUGACCAAUCAUCUCACUCUGCCAAGCCCAAGGAAAUUAUAGUUGACUCCCAAUCAGAGAUUUCAGCCAAAGUGCAUUUGGACUUGGACAUAACCUUACCAGCAGUGUUUUCAAGCAUCCAAAAGGAAGUGGAGGAAAAUAAGUUGGAGGAACUGAAAGAGGUUAGAGGUAAUGAAGAAAAACAGUCAGAAAUACAUAGAAGAGAAGUUCAAAAGCAAGAUGAGACACUUCAUAAAAUGGAAGUAGGUAAGCCAGAAACUUCAACACAGCAAUGUUCUUUUAAUGAUGGAAGUGCUGAGAUUGCAAGUAAAGAUGAAGAGUUUAGUUGUAGCACACAUGACACCUUGUUUGGAGAUGCACAGUAUCCCAGAGUGGAAGAAUGUGAAACAGAGACUGUAAACGAUGCUGCAGCAGUGAGAGUCAAGGCUAGCAAGAAGGAGAAGAUGGGUGAAAAGGUAGAGAAUGUGCAGGCAAGUGGAGAGGAAGUAGAUGUGGUGGCCGCUUGUACUGGUCAUGGAUUUGGAGUUGCCAACCUUGGGCUGACAGGAGGGGACAGAGUAACCCAUCAUCUUUCCAUGCAUCCAACUACUUCUGAACCUGAGGAACAUCUACAGACAAGAUGUGGAUCAGGGAGUGAAAUGGAGCUGGCUGCUGUCCUUCCUGCAGAUGUUGACGCGGCCUUUGUUUCUGAGAACAGAGCUCUCAAAGAGGAGAUUCCAACACCUGAAGGCAAGGGUAGAGCCUCAGAAAAGGAGAAACCAGUAUCAACCAUAGGAGACAUAUUACUCCAUGCUAGUGCGACUUCAUUUCAGACAGCAGAGAGUCAGGAAAGCCAGCUUUCAUUGUCCACUAACACUCCAGAGGUUUUUACUUCUUCCCAGCCUGAUGUGCUGCUGCGCCAGACUCUGAUCCCAUCCAUUGCCUUCUUCAGUGCUGCUGUCUGCCUGGUAGUUGGCUUCCAGGAGCCCAGCAUUUUCCUUUUCAUGGCACUAUUACUAUGUUCUCUAUGCCUCUGACAGCUUUUUUUCCCCUUUUAUUAAGCCAUAUCCUUCUCCACCUCCCUAAGAGUGCCUUUCUGUUUAAAAAAAAGAAAAAGAAAAGAAAAGCAAAUAUAUUUGGUUUCACAUUAGUGUGUGGUGUGUAUAUAGGAUACAGAUGUACUAGGAAAUAAUUAUUUAUGUAGAAAGUUAUUUUUGUAUGCUGCGCCUACAAUCUUACAGUAUCACUAUUUAGUGAGAAGUCAGAAUUGCUGGGAAAUCCUAAUUGUAAGAAAUUAAAAUCUGCAGUACAUUAAUCUUCCUGAAAAUCAUCAUUACACAUUUAAGAGAAAUUUAAAUGAAAUAGCCU
ensembl:lncRNA